UACCUUUUGUAUAAUGGGUCAGCGACUUAUAUUCUGUAGCAAGGUUAACCGAAUAGGGGAGCCGGAGGGAAACCGAGUCUUAACCGGGCGUUAAGUUGCAGGGUAUAGACCCGAAACCCGGUGAUCUAGCCAUGGGCAGGUUGAAGGUUGGGUAACACUAACUGGAGGACCGAACCGACUAAUGUUGAAAAAUUAGCGGAUGACCUGUGGCUGGGGGUGAAAGGCCAAUCAAACCGGGAGAUAGCUGGUUCUCCCCGAAAGCUAUUUAGGUAGCGCCUCGUGAACUCAUCUCCGGGGGUAGAGCACUGUUUCGGCUAGGGGGCCAUCCCGGCUUACCAACCCGAUGCAAACUGCGAAUACCGGAGAAUGUUAUCACGGGAGACACACGGCGGGUGCUAACGUCCGUCGUGAAGAGGGAAACAACCCAGACCGCCAGCUAAGGUCCCAAAGUCAUGGUUAAGUGGGAAACGAUGUGGGAAGGCCCAGACAGCCAGGAUGUUGGCUUAGAAGCAGCCAUCAUUUAAAGAAAGCGUAAUAGCUCACUGGUCGAGUCGGCCUGCGCGGAAGAUGUAACGGGGCUAAACCAUGCACCGAAGCUGCGGCAGCGAACGUAUCACCCAAGACAACUUUGCGGAGUUGACGAUUGACGGAGCGAAGCGACGUCAAAGCGUUCAUUAAAGUCGAGUUGGCUUAGGGAUACGUUCGUUGGGUAGGGGAGCGUUCUGUAAGCCAGUGAAGGUGUGUCGUGAGGCAUGCUGGAGGUAUCAGAAGUGCGAAUGCUGACAUAAGUAACGAUAAAGCGGGUGAAAAGCCCGCUCGCCGGAAGACCAAGGGUUCCUGUCCAACGUUAAUCGGGGCAGGGUGAGUCGACCCCUAAGGCGAGGCCGAAAGGCGUAGUCGAUGGGAAACGGGUUAAUAUUCCCGUACUUGGUGUUACUGCGAAGGGGGGACGGAGAAGGCUAUGUUGGCCGGGCGACGGUUGUCCCGGUUUAAGCGUGUAGGUGUGUGUUCCAGGUAAAUCCGGUUCACUUUAACACUGAGGCGUGAUGACGAGGCACUACGGUGCUGAAGUAACAAAUGCCCUGCUUCCAGGAAAAGCCUCUAAGC
rnacentral:rRNA from 1 species